rnacentral:sRNA from 1 species
AUUAUCUGAACUCAGACAAAUGGCGCCACGUCCUGUGGCAACGUCUGAGUGACCCGCAUCGUGAAGG